AUACGUAGGGGGCGAGCGUUGUCCGGAAUGAUUGGGCGUAAAGGGCGCGUAGGCGGCCCGGUAAGUCUGGAGUGAAAGUCCUGUUUUUAAGAUGGGAAUUGCUUUGGAUACUGUCGGGCUUGAGUGCAGGCGAGGUAAGUGGAAUUCCCAGUGUAGCGGUGAAAUGCGUAGAGAUUGGGAGGAACACCAGUGGCGAAGGCGACUUACUGGACUGUAACUGACGCUGAGGCGCGAAAGUGUGGGGAGCAAACAGGAUUAGAUACCCUGGUAGUCCACACUGUAAACGAUGAAUGCUAGGUGUAGGGGGUAUCGACCCCUUCUGUGCCGCAGUCAACACAAUAAGCAUUCCGCCUGGGGAGUACGGCCGCAAGGUUGAAACUUAAAGGAAUUGACGGGG
rnacentral:rRNA from 1 species